UACAGAGGUCCCAAGCGUUGUUCGGAUUCACUGGGCGUAAAGGGUGCGUAGGUGGUGAGGUAAGUCGGAUGUGAAAGCUCGGAGCUCAACUCCGAAAUGGCAUUGGAAACUACCUUGCUCGAGGGUUGGAGGGGGGACUGGAAUGCUUGGUGUAGCAGUGAAAUGCGCAGAUAUCAAGCGGAACACCAGUGGCGAAGGCGAGUCCCUGGACAACUCCUGACACUGAGGCACGAAAGCUAGGGGAGCAAACAGG
rnacentral:rRNA from 1 species